UGGCAGUUUCUGUGAAUUGGAUGUCUCUUC
rnacentral:piRNA from 1 species